rnacentral:tRNA from 1 species
GGGAAUGUGGCUUAGUGGUAAAGUGCUUGCCUAGUAUGCAUGAAGCCUAGAGUUCAAUUCCUCAGUUCCA